GUCGGUGCAGAAAGGGAGCAAAAAAAAUUCUUCUACCCGUACGUAAUUCCCUUCUUCUUUUUCACUAUCCCGGGUUCUGGCCGAAUCUCCGUGCCACUUUACCGGCGAUGUUUCCGGCCACUCUCCCGGCUCUGACCUGACUACUUUUCAACCUUUCAGUCGCACUCUCUGUGGAAUGCUUCUGGGAAAUUCUUGAUUCCGGAGCUUUUUAUAAUCCGAUUUUAAACAUCCAGUUGAAUUUUUGGCUCUUUGAGACCUCGAUCAGUGAGCUCCCCCACAGAACUCAGCAACGUUUAAUUAAAACUUUCCGUCUGCAUUGCUUAUUCCUUCUUUCUGUGUCGAUUGGAUGAAUGGCUUCUUUCUCUCUUUGAAUAUUCUCCUCUCUCCCGCCCUUUCUCGCUUCUUCUCUCUGUGUGUUCAUAUCUAUGGUCAUUGGCUUCUUCCUUCUUGAAACUUGGGAUAUUACAUUUCAAAUUUGCCCC